AAAGCACGAUCGAUGGAGGAAAACGGUUAUGCAUUUUUACUGAAUGAAAAUUCAGAGUUCUUCUUCUUCUCUGUGUCUCUCUCUUUUUCUCAACUUCUCUGCCUUUUCCCUUCUCUCUCACAUUUCUUCUACUUAAAAUUCCGGAGCGUAUCACAAAAACAAGAAAGAAUUGUCUUCUUCGCUCACAACUCCCACGCAUACCAGACAAACCCUUCAUUUCUCACCGUAGUUUCAGUCAUAAGCUCCAAUUUGAAUCGUCUUCUUUUUCUAGCACUCUUACCAGUACCUCCAGGUCCGUUAGGUGGUUCUGCACGAAUCCGGUUCUUCAGCCACCACAGCCCCUUGUAUCGCCGAAGCUCCUUCCUUCGCCAACCGAACAUCACGCUUUUGAAUGAAGCCCUCAUUCGCACUUUGAAAUAAUUACCAGUGAGUCUCCUUCAACCUCAACUUUCCGAAAACCCAUCUCUUGAGGCGAAUCGAACGGCCUGUACUGCUGCCACGGCUUCCGCCGCCUCCACAGACGAUCUAUUCCUGUUCCAAUUACAUACCACACCCAUUAUCAAGCGAUUGUUGUUUCUAAUAAUUAUGCCUGAACUUGAUGCCUCCAGAUCUUUGUAAAAAUCUCAUCGAAGUUCAGUUUGAACCAUGGAUCGGAGGUUGUCACAUCUCUGUUUCAGUAGUCACAGUUCUCGGUUGAGUGGCCUCCAAUGCUUCCAAUUCUCUAAUAUACCCCAUAAAAAAGGUACAUAACUCACUCGUUGAAUGUCUUUUGCCUUCAUGCAACAGUUUAUUUCUCGAUAGCCAUAAUGCCCAAAUUGCAAUAAUAAUAAGUACCUAUUGUUGGGUAUUCUUGGUAAA